rnacentral:miRNA from 1 species
UACCUCGACGGCUGGAAGGUUUCCCUUCCAGCUGGCGAGGCAUGUACCUUGUCGACUGGAAGGAAACCCUCCCAGUCGACGAGGUA